CCUACGGGAGGCAGCAGUGGGGAAUUUUGGACAAUGGGGGAAACCCUGAUCCAGCAAUGCCGCGUGUGUGAAGAAGGCCUUCGGGUUGUAAAGCACUUUUGUCAGGAACGAAACGGUGGGGGCUAAUAUCCUCUGCUAAUGACGGUACCUGAAGAAUAAGCACCGGCUAACUACGUGCCAGCAGCCGCGGUAAUACGUAGGGUGCGAGCGUUAAUCGGAAUUACUGGGCGUAAAGCGUGCGCAGGCGGUUGUGCAAGACAGAUGUGAAAUCCCCGGGCUUAACCUGGGAAUUGCAUUGGUGACUGCACGGCUAGAGUGUGUCAGAGGGGGGUAGAAUUCCACGUGUAGCAGUGAAAUGCGUAGAUAUGUGGAGGAAUACCGAUGGCGAAGGCAGCCCCCUGGGAUAACACUGACGCUCAUGCACGAAAGCGUGGGGAGCAAACAGGAUUAGAUACCCUGGUAGUCCACGCCCUAAACGAUGUCUACUAGUUGUCGGGUCUUAAUUGACUUGGUAACGCAGCUAACGCGUGAAGUAGACCGCCUGGGGAGUACGGUCGCAAGAUUAAAACUCAAAGGAAUUGACGG
rnacentral:rRNA from 1 species